rnacentral:rRNA from 1 species
AGACGUCUACAUUAGAUACCCCGUAGUCCCAGCCGUAAACUAUGCGCGUUAGGUGUAUCGGUGACCACGAGUUACCGAGGUGCCGAAGGGAAACCGUGAAACGUGCCGCCUGGGAAGUACGGUCGCAAGGCUGAAACUUAAAGGAAUUGGCGGGGGAGCACAACAACGGGUGGAGCCUGCGGUUUAAUUGGACUCAACGCCGGACAACUCACCGGGAACGACAGCAAUAUGUAGGCCAGGCUGAAGACCUUGCCUGAAUCGCUG